rnacentral:rRNA from 1 species
AUGACGGUACCUUACAAAGAAAGACCACGGCUAAACUACGUGCCAGCAGCCGCGGUAAAACGUAGGUGGCAAGCGUUGUCCGGAAUUAUUGGGCGUAAAGGGUACGCAGGCGGUUUUUUAAGUCUGAUGUGAAAUCUCAUAGCUUAAACUAUGAGCGGUCAUUGGAAACUGGAGAACUUGAGUAUAGAAGAGAAGAGUGGAAUUCUAAGUGUAGCGGUGAAAUGCGUAGAUAUUUGGAAAGAACACCAGUGGCGAAGGCGACUUUCUGGACGAAAACUGACGCUGAGGCGCGAAAGCCAGGGGAGCGAACGGGAUUAGAUACCCCGGUAGUCCUGGCCGUAAACGAUGGGUACUAGGUGUUAGGAGGUAUCGACCCCUUCUGUGCCGGAGUUAACGCAAUAACGUACCCCGCCGUGGGGAGUACGACCGCAAGGUUGAAACUCAAAGGAAUUGACGGGGGCCCGCACAAGCGGUGGAGUAUGUGGUUUAAUUCGACGCAACGCGAAGAACCUUACCAGGUCUUGACAUUGAUGGACAGGACCAGAGAUGGUUCCUCUUCUUCGGAAGCCAGAAAACAGGUGGUGCCG